rnacentral:misc_RNA from 1 species
UGUUUUUUUUUUUUUUUUUUUCUGUUAGAUGCCGUGCCAAGAUUUGGCAACACUACCCAAACCAAAUUUGGAGCAACUAAUGACAUCAACGAUAUGAACAUAUAUGACACUCUGUCAUAAUACAUCUGUUUACUCAACCAGGUUCUCUUCUUUUUACCAUACCCAGAAGUAUUGUUUGGAUUUUUUGAAACACACAUACGACAUUAUUCAUGUUCACAGAGAACAAGUUCCAAAUCCUUAACAUACCCGUUACUCUUUAUUGCAAGCAUCAGUCUUUAUGUGAGACUAAACCUCAUACUUCUCUCUGGUUGACUAUUUCUUCCUCAGUGUUGCGCUUAACUGAUAAACAGCAUCAUGCACUUCAUCAAAUUGAGGUUUUAUUGCAUUUUUUGUAUUCUCAAUCCACUGUUGAACUUUCUUGUAUUGGCCCAGAAGACGAUUGCGUUCAUUCUCAUCCAGUAGCUCGAGUUGCAUAAUUUCACAGACGAGGCUGAGAUCUGCUAUUGAUGGUUGAUUUGCCCCAAGCAAGAACAUCCCACUAUCCUGGAGCCAAAAGGACUCUAUUGUUGACAGAGAUGAAAUCAAAAUUUUCUCAUCUUCAGCUGCUGCCUGUAGGUUCAGAGGCAGGCCAAAUAUAGGCGCCAGUCUUGAAUUAAAAACAUAGUUAACUGGAGAGGAAAGCCAAAAGCAAGUUCAUUAACUUUAGAAAAAAAAAAGGAUUCCACAACUUAAGAAUUACAAAAAAAAUUACAUGGAGGGUUCACAUACCAAAUUUAACAACACAAAUCAAGCAAUACACCAAUUAAACAAAACAAAUUAACAGAAUAGUAAGUUUGCAAUGCAAGCAUUAUAAUAAUUUCCUGGACAUCAAUAAUUUGAUUGUUAUUAGGUUAUUGCUAAACAACCAUGCUGUAUAGAAUGUGCUAAGUAGAGCAUGUACUAAAUAAUUGGACAUGGACUCGAAUCAAAGCAUAGUCACCAUUCCACAGCCUUGGAUUUGAAGCUUGAGAUCAAGCCUAUUUAACCAUCAAGAAAUAAGUGAAAAUAUUGUUAAACACUUCAUCAUCAACUGAGCACACAAGCUACUUCCUAGCAGUUUAAUGCGACAAAGGAUAAUUGAUAGCAACAUAUAUUUAUUACGCACAAUAAAAUCUUAUGGAGCUGAUAUGAGGCACCUGUGCCACGGCGUAAAUUUGAGUGAUGCCAGUCCAAAACAGAAUGAAUCUUGGCUCUCUUGACAAGAUCAGUUGGAUACCUUUAGCGUGAAUGGAAAACUGUUAAGAGCUGAGAGCAGAAUAUGAACAUUUCGGUGAAAUAAAAGUGACUUGUUGUUGAUAGUACACAUGAACUUGCAAAAAAAUUUCAACUAAAGAUGUGCACACGCAUGCACAUUUGAGUAUUUUUAUAUGCAUUUAGGUGCCUAAUUAUGUGCAUGUUCUGAAAACAAAGUCUCAAUUAGUAAUUUUGUUCUAUUUCCAAUUCAACAACAUCAAUCAUUCUACAGUGUUCAUGUGACAUUAAACAUUAUCGAGAAAUUAAAUGCAAUAAAUGAGAAACUAUGCUUACCAAUGAUCUGCAACUCCAGGAAAUGCAGAGGCAAGAUAUAUAAGGAUUGCAUGGCUGUAAAGUGAAAACGAGAAGUUGAUUAACAAAUUAAUUUGUAUAGCUAGAAAAGGAAUUAAAAAAUUUCAGUUCCUGAGCACAUUACAACUUGUCAUAGAACCAGAUUAUAAAAGUAAAGUUGCAACCACAGGUCAUAAUUCAAUGCUGAAUGAGAAUUAAUCUAGGCAUUAAUAAAUUAACAUCCCACGCAUAGGGAACACAUAACAAAUGAGUAUGGAGGUAGCAUACAGAGAGUGAUUUAGAUUAUACCUCUCAAAAAGCUUAAGAUCUCCAUGAAUGAUAGCUGGGACUUGCCCCAUAGGAUUUAUCUCUUUGAAUUCAGGAGACUUCUGCUGUCCCUUGGUUAUGUCAAGCGUCACCUCCUCAAACUCUAUACUAUUAGCCUUGCAGAAGAUCAUAACAGCGCGCGU